rnacentral:rRNA from 1 species
AAGCUCGUAGUUGAAUUUCGGGGUUAGUAGGUUGGUCAUGCCUCUGGUAUGUACUGGUCUCACUGAUUCCUCCUUCCUUAUGAACCGUAAUGCCAUUAAUUUGGUGUUGCGGGGAAUUUGGACUGUUACUUUGAAAAAAUUAGAGUGUUUAAAGCAAGCUAACGCUUGAAUACAUUAGCAUGGAAUAAUGAAAUAGGACGUGCGAUCUUAUUUUGUUGGUUUCUAGGAUUGACGUAAUGAUUAAUAGGGAUAGUUGGG